UUGGAAAAGUGAGUUUCUAUGUAAGGGUAAAAAUAUGAAAAGAAACAAGAAAAAAAAUCACCCUUGAAACCAUAGAGCAUUGAAAAAAAAAUUAGAAAAAGAAAAGCAAAGAAAUGCUCAUGUUGUGUGGAUUUGAAAAGAAAAGAAAAAGAAAAGAUAGGGAUCAAAGAAAGGGAAAUUGUGUAGAGUGAAUCUUUGGGAAUGCUCCCUUAGAAUAGGCAAUUUGGUUGAAUUCUCUUAAUCA
rnacentral:lncRNA from 1 species